CUCGGGCCUGGCUCGCCCGCGGGCGGAUGGCUCCGGGUCUCUGCUGCUGAGGAUGUGGCUGCCGGGCGGAGGUCGUCCACUCCCCUGGGCCUUUCUCCGCGAGCCCUCCCACGCCGCCCGCUCCUCUCCCGGGGCGAAGGGCGGGGACGAGGCGCGCCGAAGCCCCGAGCUGAAGAGAAGGGUGGGGGCAUGAGGGCGCUGGAGUGAGGAACAGAUUGGAGCCUUCCCACUUCCUCUCCAAUCUCAGCCCCCGGGAGGAGGGAAAGAUGCAGUCUAGCACCUCAGUUAAGAAUAUGGACUCUAAAGUCAGACUGCCAGGCUUCAAAUUCCAGUUCUGCGACCUCAGCAAAGUUACUUAACCAAGCUCUCAGUGCCUUGUUUUCUUCAUCUGUAAAAUGAGGAUGACGUCACAGCAUUGUUGAGAGAAUUAAUACAGGCUCCAGACUUGUGAAUGGAGAAGUGUUGAGGUGACCCCAGCUCCAGCCACCAGCUGACGACAACCAUACCGGAGAUCCUGAGAGCUGCCUAGCUGACCCCAGGCACCCCCCAGACUUAUUCAGCACUUAGAAGAAUGCCAGGCAGGCUUUCCCCACCAACCAAGAUGGAAUAACAGGGAAAAGACAUACCCUUCUAUCUUCAAUAAUUGGAAACCCAGACAAAGUUUAUGAAACGCUGGUUUUCAAGACAUAGGACAUCAGACAAUCAAGGACAGUAAACACUGAGAUGGGAAACAAACAAGGAAGCCAUGAAAACUUCAAAACUGCUUCACCACCUGGAGACCAAGCACCCUGCAUUAAAAGACAAGCCUUUGGAGUUUUUCUAAAGAAAAAACAUGAACACAGAGAACAGAAGUAAUUAUUGAAGGCCACUACUUCAUUAAGUGUGUCUGUACUGAGAGCAUCGUUCCUAGUGGCUAACCACGUUAUUAGGCUAAGAAGCCCUUUAGUAUUGGUGAAGAGUUGAUCCUGCCUGCUGCUAAGGACAUUUGUCAUGAACUUUUAGGAGAGGCUGCUGUUCAAAAGGUGGCACAUGUUCCUCUUUCAGCUAACACCAUAACUAGAAGAAUGGAUGAAAUAGCAGAGAAUAUUGAGGCACAAUUGUUAGAGAGGAUUAAUGAGUCACCGUGCUACACAAUCCACAAAAGGGUUUUGUCCCAGAAAUAGACUCAUACAUAUAUGAUCAGUGAUUUUCAACAGUGGUACAAAUGCAAGUCAGCGCAGAAAAAAUAAUCUCUUCAACAAAUGGUGCAGGAACAAUUGGAUAUCCAUAAAAUGAACUCGGAUCCACGCUUUGCACCAUAUGCAAAAAUUGACUCAAAAUAGGUAUAGGUCCUAGACCUAAAUGUAACAACCUGAAACUCUAAAAUUUCUCAGGAAAAAAAUGGGAUAAAAUCUUUGUGGUCUUGGAUUAGGCAAAGAUAUUUUCUUGUGUUUGUGGGUAAAGAAACCUUUAAUGAGGGUUCAAGGUGUAAGAGGAGGACCUUGUAGAGAGCCAGCGCUUAGCCCCAGCCUCCUCAUAUGCACAUGGCUCUGUAGAGGUUCUCCAGACAGUGCUGCUGCUGCUGUUUCGAGCCUUAUCUCCUCUGUGCUCCUC
rnacentral:lncRNA from 10 species